rnacentral:rRNA from 1 species
GACGAACGCUGGCGGCGUGCUUAACACAUGCAAGUCGAACGGAAAGGCCCUGCUUUUGUGGGGUGCUCGAGUGGCGAACGGGUGAGUAACACGUGAGUAACCUGCCCUUGACUUUGGGAUAACUUCAGGAAACUGGGGCUAAUACCGGAUAGGAGCUCCUGCUGCAUGGUGGGGGUUGGAAAGUUUCGGCGGUUGGGGAUGGACUCGCGGCUUAUCAGCUUGUUGGUGGGGUAGUGGCUUACCAAGGCUUUGACGUGUAGCCGGCCUGAGAGGGUGACCGGCCACAUUGGGACUGAGAUACGGCCCAGACUCCUACGGGAGGCAGCAGUGGGGAAUAUUGCACAAUGGGCGGAAGCCUGAUGCAGCAACGCCGCGUGCGGGAUGACGGCCUUCGGGUUGUAAACCGCUUUCGCCUGUGACGAAGCGUGAGUGACGGUAAUGGGUAAAGAAGCACCGGCGAACUACGU